GGGCCGGUCGUCUAGUGGGAGGAUUGCCUCUCCCCUCGAACCGCCUUCGCACGGCGGAGGUCCCGGGUUCGAAUCCCGGCCGGUCCACCA
rnacentral:tRNA from 1 species